rnacentral:rRNA from 1 species
GACGAACGCUGGCGGCGUGCCUAAUACAUGCAAGUAGAACGCUGAAGGAGGGGCUUGCUUCUCUGGAUGAGUUGCGAACGGGUGAGUAACGCGUAGGUAACCUGCCUGGUAGCGGGGGAUAACUAUUGGAAACGAUAGCUAAUACCGCAUAAGAGUAGAUGUUGCAUGACAUUUGCUUAAAAGGUGCAAUUGCAUCACUACCAGAUGGACCUGCGUUGUAUUAGCUAGUUGGUGAGGUAACGGCUCACCAAGGCAACGAUACAUAGCCGACCUGAGAGGGGGAUCGGCCACACUGGGACUGAGACACGGCCCAGACUCCUACGGGAGGCAGCAGUAGGGAAUCUUCGGCAAUGGACGGAAGUCUGACCGAGCAACGCCGCGUGAGUGAAGAAGGUUUUCGGAUCGUAAAGCUCUGUUGUAAGAGAAGAACGAGUGUGAGAGUGGAAAGUUCACACUGUGACGGUAUCUUACCAGAAAGGGACGGCUAACUACGUG